UCUCAUUCUGUGUGAGGCGGCGCGCCCUCGACGGUCGUUUCAAUCGGUGGCGUUGGAGCGGCGCACGCGACGCAGACGGUGGCAUUGUCGCGGGCAGGCGGGCGGGCGGGCGGGCGGCCACGGUGUUUGCAGUGAGCCGGGCGGAGCGCCACAGCGCUGCGCUUGAGCGACGCGCAGGGGCGAUCCGGGGAUAGACGGGGUCACACGGGCACACGGCCGCGCGUGAGAAUUGUUGGUGGCACGGUGAAAACAACGCAUCACGUGACUUGGAGUCACCUCUCGAGAACUCGCCAUCACACCGGCCCAGGAGCCUGGCUGCUGCUGCUGUCUAGGAGGCGUGCACACCCAGCCCGUGGGGGAGGUGGGGGCGUGCUCCUCGGCAAGGCUCUGGAGGUGGCCGUGGCACGUUCGGGGGAGGACCGCGAAACCUCUGGGUGGAGCUCGGCGUUCGGGAGGAGAGGCUACAGUGGCUUCUGUCCGCCGCGUAUGCCGCUGGCUCCGUGCCCUCGCUGGCCAGCUCCGUUCGUCAUAUUCAGCUGGCGCUCACGAGCACAACUUAAAGUGAAACUGGAUAAGGACUCUUUCUCCAUCGCCCCCCACCCCACUCGUUACAUAACGGCGCCGCCGUCGUCAUCAACAACACGCGGGGUUCAUUUCGUGUCCUCUGCUCCCCGCAGUGCCUCAUCAGCGGCAGCGGCGGCGGCGGCCAAGCUGCCACGCAGCACCUAUCGUGAAUGCGCGAUGCAGCAAUGCACCGAGCCUAGCGCCUGCGCAAAAAAACUGAUUUAAUCGCUCCGUCUCCCCGGCGGCCGCUCCACUCUGGGACGCGUUACAAUUGUCGCCAAUUCUUUGUAUAAAACAAGACGACUUGUUCACCACGUAUUGAAAAUUCUACCGUUGUAUUAAUUAUAUUACAUCGCAGGAUUGUGAGAGGUGGUGCCGGCUCGGAUAGGCAGGCCUUCAUCCAGCAGUGGAUUGAUCACGGUUGAUGAAUGAAAUCUCCAUAUUUAACUUGCGGCAAUAUCAAUGUAUUAAUGUCCAACAUAACAUAAGCUUUUACAAUGGAUGGUUUCUAAUUUUUGUAUGUUAACUAUAAACACUAGCCUUAUUUUAUUUAGUUGUACUAUUCGUGGACAAUUAGGUGACCUUUUUCGAUGAUUAUUUACAACCGGGCAACGACUCAAUUGAGAGGAGAAUUCCCUUCUCCAGGAAACUCGCGCGCUUCCCAGAUGUGAUAUUUACGCAACUUGCAAGCGACUCUUCUGUGUGCGUCGUGCACCGCGUAUCCGUGGUCACUACGGCAUUGAAGCCCCGGUAAGUUUGGGAAGGACAUUAGCAAGGUGAUUGCGCAAGCUCGCAUGAUGAACGAUUCCUAGAAGGGGAUCGAUGUAGCAUGAUUUUGGGCUGGUUUUAGUCGACACGGUGAUUGCAAUGGGAAAGCUAAUUACCUGCCACAGUAAAUAAGAUCCCAGAUGACAAACGGCCUCUCCCCAAGGCUUUCCUUUACGCUGGCAUAAUCUCCAGCAGUUUCAAGCCCCAGCACACGUGUUUCGUAUCUUAUCAGAGGCCGGCAACACUGCAUCCCCUCUGUGGCUUCGGUCUUCGAAUGCGCAUCAAAGGGAGUGCUUUCCAUGUCCCUGACAUCACAUGGCGGCGCGACGCUGCCGUGAAAAAUCAAUUGACUCGUCCAGACGUGGGAAUGCCUCAUCCCUCAGAACGGACGCACGUUGAGGCUGGUUGCGAAGAUCUAUCAGAGGUGGUCACAUUCGCAUUUGCAAACGGGAGCAAGGCACACAGAUGCGAUAUUUAGAAUCAGACUGUGAUUGUGGGCAGCCUUCCUGCGGAGCACAAACAGCAGGAAGGAAUAACUCCCUCCAUGCCUCGCAUGCGUGCCAUGUGAUCACCAUAUUGUACAGUAGAUGCAACGCUCUCAGCCUUGCCCAGCCCACCGGCUCGUGAGAUGAAUGUGAGGCUACAUGCAGAAGGGCCAUUGCCCGAAACGUCGCCAUAUACAGAGAUUUGCUUUUAAGGCUACAGUGCUACAGAUGGAUGUUUCGUUCUUUGUGAGCAGCACGCCAUUGCGUGGUGUUACAUCUCGUUGUGUCCAGCCUCUCCGUUCGCUUUCACGAUAUGUGAAUGAGACUCGGUUCAUUUAUACCGAGAAAACAGAACCGCCGGGUAAAUGCGUGAGCAGCAUCUCGGUUGAACGGCGCUGCGUGUCCCGUUUAAGUGACGGAUUUGUUUUGCCAGGAUAAGUCGGCACGGGCCCCACUCUGCAGCCCUCUGCUGGGCGAGCGACGAGGACAAAUCUUGCUGUGCCUACCGCCGUGUGCUCUUUUUUUCUCUCUCAACGAUUUGCCAUCACUGGCCUUUAUAAAUAAUUCACGAGCCAUGAAUUACAACUUGUGCCUCGUAGUCACGUUUAUCACGCGUCCUUUCGUCCGGCAGGUUUUGUCGUUUGUCAUUGCAAAGCGGCGGCGCUGGUGGUGCAGUGUUUUGUGAAGCGCGCCUGUACACCUGGCAACCUGAGUUCAGUUCUUGGCCACGGCCGAGAGUUCAUCUGAACCAACCCCGGCCCCUCUACACCCUAAUGGUUGUCCCAAGAUGGAGCGGAGGUGAUGAGCAGGUGGUCGAGGAUAAUGAUGGAGUGACAGCCAAGACGUGGAAUGUGACCGAGCUGACGUACCCCGAGGAGAUGGAGCGAUCAGAUCGGCUCGCGUGCAGGAAAAAGCUGCUGCUGCUGCGAGGAUGACCGGAGUUGGUGUGAUGGCGUAUGCUCCUUGAGAUCAGCAAGGAACUCACCAAAAGAUCUGGUGCAAGUUGGAACGAGUGGAGGGGGUGAUGUGGAGGCGUCGCUGUUCCGCUGCAUGGACUCCGUGGUGACGCUGUCGCGGGUGGAUGGCGCAGCCUGCCGGGAGCUUUUUCUUCAAUUAUCUCGCGACGCCUGCCGUAGUGACAUUUCAAUCACGCGGGAAUUCGAUUUCGUUCAUCGAAAAGUGUCCACGGUUUGUGUUCACCCACUACAUGUGCGAGGAGGCAACACUCUAACCAUACAUAAAGCAACAUAACGAGAUUCAAUCUUCAUUUUAAGCUUUCGUGACUGCAGGAAUCCAUACUUUUUGGUUCUUUCGGUAAUGGAACUGCAGUUCCACUGCUGGAUUAUAUUUUUUUCCGCCUGAGGACGACCGCUUGUGUUGCGAUCGAAACGUCGUGAUAUAUUUUAUUUUAUACCUCCGUGACUUUACCGACAGAACCAAAGAGUUUGACGAGAUUCGUCCGCACUUUCCUGUACUGGCUUCUCCUGGCGAGCCAGGGUACGGCUCAUCCUCGACGCCCAUGCGAAGGGAGUUUUGACAACAACAUCAUCUGUGUGUGAUCCACCAACCCUAGCUGCUCUCUACAGAGUGAUUGAUCACAGGCUGCCACUAGCCAGCACUGCCGGAUGGUUAAAAGUUAUUUCAUUUUUAAGUGUGAUAUUUUAAUGAAAGAGUUCAAUUGAGCGAAAUUAUCAACAUGUUAUCAUCAUUGGUACGAAUGCACAAAGUGAUGUUUUGUAUUUUAUUACAAAUUGACUGAUAGCAUGUAUCAAAGUGCUACGAUGUUGCGUAACAACCAUUGUUGAGAAAGCACAACUUUUUUUAGGGCCCCCUUUUUAAUUUAUAAACUACGAGUUAGAGAUCAGAGAAAAUAGACAAGAUUUAGAGAGAAGCGAUAACUGUGGACAAAACAGUCGUGAGAUGAGAUAAGAUAGAUAAAGAUGUGACAGAGAUCGAAUGGAACGAGAGAGUCGCAGACCAUAGACGAGCUCCCCAUUCGAUGACCAAAGAGAGAUGCCGACAAGAUAAGGACGAGAGAGAUAUUUGUUUGGUGGCUCGUGUGUGUCAAUUGUCUUGAUUUAAAUUCCAGGUGAUAAUUGGGGUAUAUUUUUAUUUAUUUAUAUCGGCUAUGAAUCCGGCGCACCUUGGGCUGCUUGGGGGGCUGGAGCCCUCGCCUGCUUUGCUUCUGUGUGACCGCCUCCGCCGUUUGCAGGACACAAAGGGGCCACCCUGUCAUCAACGGCCACCGCUGUUGUUCCUCGCGAGCCGCGGGCCGGGGGCGGGGGGGGGUGCGAGGCGAUGGAUAUUGCGCAAGGCGGCCGAUCUGAUGGAUGUGUGAGCGGUGCAGACGGCGUACGGAGGGCGCCGUCUCCUGCGGGUCCACGCUGCUGGGAGCACGCCUCGCGGACAUGCGCCGCUCUUGGCGACCGGGAGGGGACAUCGUGUGCCCCAGUGGUUGUGCCCUAGCAGACCUCGACAUUGGCAUUGAGCUCGUGAACAAACUUCUGCCAUCGCGCGCAAGAGCGGACUUCGAUGGCAUCCCAUGCAGACGUCGUCCACCGAGACGUGGGCACCCGUCAAGGGGCCACCCUCUCGCCGCGCAGGUCGUGAGCGGGAUUCGACCAAACUUCACCAACACAUCUCUCCACGUUUGUCUCCUCACACUGUUCGGAUUUUGAAUCCGCCUCAUCGUCUCUUUUCCCAACGUCUUAUAACAUCGCUCAAUUCAAGGCGUGUAAAACGUCUCUUUCAUACACCUACAUUGGUGCUAUUUGUUGCUGGCCGCUUAACAUGUUGGGUCCGUGCUCAGCAACCAACUGCGAUAAAAAAAGACAACCCCAACUCGAUAGAAUAAACAACCUGGUGUGGAGUUCAAAAGAUGGCUCUACCUUUAGACUGCACUUCUCUGCUUGCACGAGACCGCUCGCUCUCUGUGCGCUGACGGCAACCGUUGUCGAUUCCGCGCUAAUUCGCAUGGACACCGCGGCCGGGGCUGAGCGGCGCAGCGCCCAAGAGCGCGGGCGAGGCGAGCGCAGUGACGGGGACGAAGCCAGCGACGUGCGGCGUGGCGGGCGUCUUUGUGGGUGCCGAGUGUGCUCGCUCGCCCGUCCACGUGCGCGCCAUGACCCCGGGCACCCGGCUGGCUGUAACGUCGAGCAAACACGGCAGGCGAAUGAGUCCAUUUACUGCAGGCUUCCUCCCCCUCUCCCCCCCUGAAUUGCCUGACGGACAUCGCGUUCCUUGCGGUUGUUGAUUUAGUGGUUUGUAAAAACUUGCAACCGCUGUGUUCUUCACAAGGAAAAAAAACCCACCCAGCUUUGAUAAAAGUGAAGCAAUGAAAGGUGACCUCAAAGGCAUUCACACUGCGCCUCUGUGGCCUGCUGUCGUGUCUCAGUGGAAUGUGGUGGUGGGUUUGUGUGUGUAUGGGGGGGGGGGGGGCAUGUAUACAUACCGUAGUGGAAGCUGGCGAUGAGUGUUAGCCUUUUUAGGUUAAAUUGGCUGUUAUAUUCCCAGGACAACUCACUGUCACUAUGAACGGUACUAUGGUACACCCGUAUCGGGCGGUGUGGUGGUACUGUGGUGUUAAUGCACUGCUCUGUGAUCCAUGUAACCAGAGCUCUGUGAUCCAUGUAACCAGAGUUUGAUUGGCAGUGAUAUUUGAACCGGCCUUGGGCCCUUACCUUAACCAACUUGUAAUUGGCCGACAAAUAGCCCUCCUUAACCUGCACAACAAGGGGAGGCCCUUGUACAACAGCGGAUUAAUAAACCGCUGUACAUGUGCUCAGUGUUCAGUCCUUUGUCAAUAGACUGGUGGAUGAGGGCUUCCCUUUGCUGUGUGAGCCAUGGGGGCUGGGGGGUUGUUUGACCAUACUUCACCACGCUGAUCAAUGUGGUUUGGUGAAAGCAGGGAGCGUAUCGUAGAUAUGAGAGCAUCGAAAAACAGUAUGACAAUGGACAUUUUUGUACUGCUCUCUGCUGAUAACCACGGAGCCGCGCAGCCUGUAUCACCUGGUAUGCAUGGACAGGGGUCGGAAACCGAAGUGACAAGAGGAGACAUUGUUUUACAAUUCGGUAAAACACUCAACGUUUCAAGAGCUACAAUGCACGUGGUGAAUACGAGACGGUGGUCCCUUAAAAAAUAUCGUCACGAAGGAGCAGUCCUUCAAGAGCCGCCGCAUGCUGCUCUGGUGCCGCAGGUUCGCCGAGCCCCGUGCGUGGAGGUCUCCCACCCAAGCACUGUCCAAGCUCAACGCUGCUGAGCUUCCGAGAUCUGAUGAGAUCACACGCAUGCCACGUGGUUUUGACAUCGGUUAAGAAGAAGAAGAAUAAUAAUGCCCUGUUUGUUAUUAUUGCACCAUUGAUCACACAUGAAGUUGUCUGUCAACGUCACAUUGCAACAAACCGAAUUGCACACUUUCUAAACGAAAAUGUUCCGCAUUGAUGUGAUUUUUUCUUCUCCAAAAGUGUUAAAUUGCAAGCAAAUUAAAGCUGGUUUAAGCUUGUUAAAAUACUUCAUAUCCUCUGCUAUGAAGAAGGGACAUUUCCAGAAACGUCGUGCUCUGAUACAUUUAUUUUAUUGUCGAGCAGUGAUACUGAAAGCUGCAUUGAGUUUCUCUUAAUUUUGUGUUGGUGCAGCACUACUAAUGCAGUAUAACAAUUGUAUAUACAUGUAUGUAAUAUAGGUGCUGAUUUAAGCGUUAAGACUCGGGGUGGUACUGCUGCAUUUACGUUAAUUCUGUUUAAGGGAACUUGAUUAAAUAAAUAAAAAACCUCUACGAAACAUCUCAGAAUAACAGGCGCGCUAAUCUAUCAUUGUGACGGGCUGACAGUGGUUGACUGACCGCGCCUUGCCUGUUUGUUUAGAACGGUCAGAAGACGGGUCCUGAUAAGGGGCCCUGAGAAUGUUGUCCCAGUGCGUGUGGUUAAGUGUCAGAGGCCUCUCCGCGCCCGUCCAUUGGGAAACGCUUGUUUGUGCCAUGGGCUUGCGGCUUCGCGGUUAAGAAAGCAACCCAGAGGUUCGUCGCGCCCCGUUAAAAAUACGCUUCUGGGAAACGAGCAUCUAAAAAAAACUCGGAGAUUUACGGUAGCGUCCAAAAAUCAAUCUCGCCACGAAAAAGGGGCAACAGCCGAAUAAAGUUGCGUGCGAUUUUUUGUUGCAAGCAACGGUCAACGGUGGAUGCCCAUAUAUUUAUUAAAUUAUGUCCUUCUUCUCGUAGCACGUAUGACUCGGUGUGUCAGAACGUGUGCGUGUACAGCGCUGUGGUCAUUCCACUGCUGCAUGAAGGCCUCCCCGUGCCGUGCGGGUUAUCGGGGUUAUUAGACCAGACCUAAUCACGCUGAUCAGUGCAUAAUUGAGAGCAAUGUGCAUUUGUCAUUUUCUUUGUUAUUAAAUGCUCAUUGUCCUUUUUAGAUUAUCGCGUAAUGUUCCUUGUGGUUUUUUUGCGCUAAAUUCCAGUUCUGAAGGCCUCCUCUCUGUAAACUUUCAUAUUAUCAUCAUUAUCAUGCAUGCAUCCCUCUGUGGGCCACAUUUGUCCACCACGCAGCGCUGUGGGCUAUAACCAUCAACGCUGCUGUCAUCUUUGGUGGUCGCUCAUCAAAGCACUAUCCAGGCUCAGCCAACCCUGCGCUGCUUAUUUUCCAAAUAUAUCAGAUUUGUUGCGUUCCGAGUGAAUUGCUCAUGGGCUUUGUAUAUCAAUAAAAUAUACACACAUGUUUUAGUACAUAUGUAUAGUUGCACACGGGGCAUCUGCAAUUAUUUCCAUCGUCGUGACCACCACCGUCGUGGUAACAAACUCGUUUACUAGUAACACGCCAGCUGGUGUUGGAGAGUCGCGUGUGAGCACUCGAGAUGCAGGAAUACCAGCGGCGAUCUUUUGUUGUUGCCGUCAUUUUCGCCCAAGUGUAUCCCCGAUGUGUCUCUCGGCGUUGUGUCAGAGCAAUGCAACCCCCCUCCACCCCCAUGUUAGAGAUUGGCCCACAGAAGCGGGUAUCAUAGAGCUACAUCUGAGAUCCCUUCAAGCGACCUCUGGUCCACACACAGCCGAGGGCAGCACUUCCACACUCACUCUGACGGUGAAACUGACAUUUGAAAUGAACACAGAACCACAUUUUAUUUCAUUGAUUAUUUUGUGCACUUUUUGGUGACCGGACUGAGCGCAUAAAGUCGCUACAUUUGGGGGCUCGGUUUUAAUCACGGUCGGCUACCUGGAUUCGAGCUCAGGCCCUCCAGGGGGCCAGCUCGGCCCACUGACCUCUGAGCCCACGCGGCCGCUUUUUGCGCACGCAGCGGCAAAUUCCCGUAACGCGCCUCACUCGGCCGCUAUCGACGAUCAGACAGUGCGGUCAUCCUAACGUGACAGCAGGCCGGGCGUUGGUGCAGUUGCGUGGUGGAUGAGUGGCCGCUGGUGAUUAAUUCGGAGGAUGUGGAAAUUUGAGGCCGGCGAUGGGGAGGGGGGGGGGGUCCAGCUACUGCUCUGAAUGUAAUAUUGGCGCAGCCCUCUGUUAUCAAUCCACUGCUGGAUAAUUGUCCGUCCAUGCUACGUGGCUCGCGGUGGUUGUGCGAACAUAUUUUACGACGCUGGUCAGUGUGGGUUAGUGAAGGGGGAGAGAUGGUGGUUCGGGACCGGUUCAGAUAUCACAACGCCACUCAUGUUGGCCGUGUUCCAGAAUCGAACCCGAGUCACCAGCUUGGUAGCGCUGUGCGUUAGUCACUGGCACGGCCCCUCCACCCCCGCUCAGUUUAAUUUGCGUGGGAAGUUUUUUUGCGUGAUAAUUUGUUGCAUGCAUCUCGUUUAUUUAAUAGACUUUGGUUUAAGAGGGCAACAGGAAUUCUGUUUGCAAUAGCGUUUUCAUUGACUUGCAAGGGAAGUUUAUGCAGAGCAGCAGACCCCAGGUUCCGGCUGAGAGCAACUCCUUCACAUUCACUGCACGACUGCGGAGUGAAUUUCAGGGCGUUGUUACUUUUUUUGUCUUAUCCGGUUCCUGUUUUGUUUUUCUUUUGAGACGCCUCGUAACUUCAAGCCCGGCCACCAACGAGAGGGAAAGGAUAGACGCGGCGGGGCUGUACGUUGCGUAACGAGCAUGGCUUCAGCAAACAGCCACUUUCAUCUUUGGUCGACGAUCGCUGGAAGAAAUAUUUACAGAAGUUUGUUUCACGUCGGCUACACCGAGCCGGCCGCAUGUAAAACAAAACAAAUCCGAGAGAAUGUCGAGGUCAAGGUGUGAGGUCCCUCUUCCUGCCGAGUGAAACGUCGAGUGUGGCCACGUGUUUUUUUGGUUUCUCUAUGAAGGGAAGUUCGUCACGUCUGCUGGUCUUGGCGGCGGGAAAGUGGCGCUCAGGGAAGCACAAUGGAAGGCGCUUGCUUGCUCUAGAGCAGUUUGUUAAAUACAAUCCUGAAGUUGCAUUAUUUGCUGCUUAGACGAUUGAGUUGUGCUCCGAGCGUUUUAUAUUUGGCGAAGUUUUUAACUCUUUCCCCCGCUUUCUUCAACGAGUGUUACGUAUAUCUGGGUGCUACACAGGAUCGCUCCUCCCAGCAUGCCGUGCCCUCAUCUCCACACUGCGUUCACAAUGCGCACAGCCUUCGUUCGACGGCCAAGAGGAAAACAUAAAAACAUGUGCCCGCAUUGUUAUCCUUAUUACAAUGAGGCAGCUGUGUAUAAAGUACCGGUGUCGUCCUUGUUAGCAAACAUCACCAUCAUUGCCUGUUGCCACCUUGCGUUCCAGGGUCUCCAUGCUCUGCCUGAUCGCUGUGUCGACGGCAUGGCGCUGCCUACGUGCAAGAAUAAA